CUGAGCUUUAAAGAUUUAGGAAUGAAAGUAAAUGUAUUUAAGCAAAAUCGAACCUAAUUUGACUUUGCUUCCAGAUCUGUCAGCUGCACAGCAACACGGAUGUUUUCAGGAGGCAGCAGGGCCAAAAAUACAUUCAGAGGGUUAAAAACAUCCUGGUUAUCUGUGAUGAGAGAAAAACUGAGUGACUUCAACCUGAGGAGGAGUCAUUUAUCACACAGAACCGAAGAGAGUAAAAAACAGAGUCAGCAGGACACAUUUUUCAGCUUUUCGUCAAAGCUUCGCUCGCAGGUGUAUUUCUGUCUGGUGUAACUUUGACACCGGUGCUCUUCGUCCCCAUUGACUUUGCCAGAGUUCCUGUUCACAAAAUCACAAAGAGUAACAGCGAGGUUGAUGAAUAACGCAAUUCAAGGCCAGUUGAACUAACUCCAGCAGGUUUUGGUCUAAAACAAAUGAUUCAGACUCUGCAUUCAUCUUCCCUGAACACCAGAGUACUCUGAAACUGUGUAUGGAGUAAUC
ensembl:lncRNA